rnacentral:tRNA from 1 species
UAGCUCAUUGGUAGAGCAUGAGACUCCUAAUCUCAUGGUUGUGGGUUCGUGCCUCAC